rnacentral:rRNA from 1 species
ACCCCGGGAGGGGAGUGAAAUAGAUCCUGAAACCGCAUGCAUACAAAAAGUCGGAGCCGCAAGGUGACGGCGUACCUUUUGUAUAAUGGGUCAGCGACUUACAUUCAGUGGCGAGGUUAACCGAAUAGGGAAGCCGUAGAGAAAUCGAGUCCGAAUAGGGCGAAUAGUCGCUGGGUGUAGACCCGAAACCAAGUGAUCUAUCCAUGGCCAGGAUGAAGGUACCGUAACAGGUGCUGGAGGUCCGAACCGACUAGUGUUGCAAAACUAGCGGAUGAGCUGUGGAUAGGGGUGAAAGGCUAAACAAACUUGGAAAUAGCUGGUUCUCUCCGAAAACUAUUUAGGUAGUGCCUCAAGUAUUACCUGCGGGGGUAGAGCACUGUUUAGGUUAGGGGGUCAUGGCGACUUACCAAACCUUAGCAAACUCCGAAUACCGCAGAGUACAGCUUGGGAGACAGAGCACCGGGUGCUAACGUCCGGACUCAAGAGGGAAACAACCCAGACCGCCAGCUAAGGUCCCUAAAAUUGGCUAAGUGGGAAACGAAGUGGGAAGGCUAAAACAGUCAGGAUGUUGGCUUAGAAGCAGCCAUCAUUUAAAGAAAGCGUAAUAGCUCACUGAUCGAGUCGUCCUGCGCGGAAGAUGUAACGGGGCUAAGCCAGUUACCGAAGCUGCGGAUGCAUCGCAAGAUGCGUGGUAGGAGAGCGUUCUGUAAGCCUGUGAAGGUGGGUUGUGAAGCCUGCUGGAGGUAUCAGAAGUGCGAAUGCUG